rnacentral:tRNA from 1 species
GGGGUUGUGGCUUAGUGGUAGAGUGCUCACCUAGCAUGCGUGAAGCACUGGGUUCGAUCCUCAGCACCGCA